GAGUUUGAUCCUGGCUCAGGACGAACGCUGGCGGCGCGCCUAACACAUGCAAGUCGAACGAGCGAGAGAGAGCUUGCUUUCUCGAGCGAGUGGCGAACGGGUGAGUAACGCGUGAGGAACCUGCCUCAAAGAGGGGGACAACAGUUGGAAACGACUGCUAAUACCGCAUAAGCCCACAGCUCGGCAUCGAGCAGAGGGAAAAGGAGUGAUCCACUUUGAGAUGGCCUCGCGUCCGAUUAGCUAGUUGGCGAGGUAACGGCCCACCAAGGCAACGAUCGGUAGCCGGACUGAGAGGUUGAACGGCCACAUUGGGACUGAGACACGGCCCAGACUCCUACGGGAGGCAGCAGUGGGGAAUAUUGCACAAUGGGGGAAACCCUGAUGCAGCGACGCCGCGUGGAGGAAGAAGGUCUUCGGAUUGUAAACUCCUGUUGUUGAGGAAGAUAAUGACGGUACUCAACAAGGAAGUGACGGCUAACUACGUGCCAGCAGCCGCGGUAAAACGUAGGUCACAAGCGUUGUCCGGAAUUACUGGGUGUAAAGGGAGCGCAGGCGGGAAAGCAAGUUGGAAGUGAAAUCCAUGGGCUCAACCCAUGAACUGCUUUCAAAACUGUUUUUCUUGAGUAGUGCAGAGGUAGGCGGAAUUCCCGGUGUAGCGGUGGAAUGCGUAGAUAUCGGGAGGAACACCAGUGGCGAAGGCGGCCUACUGGGCACCAACUGACGCUGAGGCUCGAAAGUGUGGGUAGCAACAGGAUUAGAUACCCUGGUAGUCCACACUGUAAACGAUGAUUACUAGGUGUUGGAGGAUUGACCCCUUCAGUGCCGCAGUUAACACAAUAAGUAAUCCACCUGGGGAGUACGACCGCAAGGUUGAAACUCAAAGGAAUUGACGGGGGCCCGCACAAGCAGUGGAGUAUGUGGUUUAAUUCGACGCAACGCGAAGAACCUUACCAAGUCUUGACAUCCUGCGACGGUGCUGGAAACAGUACUUUCCUUCGGGACGCAGAGACAGGUGGUGCAUGGUUGUCGUCAGCUCGUGUCGUGAGUUGUUGGGUUAAGUCCCGCAACGAGCGCAACCCUUAUGGUCAGUUACUACGCAAGAGGACUCUGGCCAGACUGCCGUUGACAAAACGGAGGAAGGUGGGGAUGACGUCAAAUCAUCAUGCCCUUUAUGACUUGGGCUACACACGUACUACAAUGGCGUUAAACAAAGAGAAGCGAGACCGCGAGGUGGAGCAAAACUCAGAAACAACGUCCCAGUUCGGACUGCAGGCUGCAACUCGCCUGCACGAAGUCGGAAUUGCUAGUAAUCGCAGAUCAGCAUGCUGCGGUGAAUACGUUCCCGGGCCUUGUACACACCGCCCGUC
rnacentral:rRNA from 1 species